UAUAAAGCAUCAGCACAUUAUCCGGACCUUCAAAAUUUACCACUCGAUACAAUGAAGGCUUUUAUCUUCGCACUAUUUCUCGGAGCCCCCUAUCUCUUUCGCCACAUUAAUGCUUUGCCGGAAAUAUCCAAUUGCGCCUUUGAGGACACCGUCAAUUUGACCGCCAGCAAAAAAUUCAGCAACGGAUCUUACCUCUAUGAAGGUGUGUUGGUGCCACCUGCUCUAAUCGGCCACUACAACUUUGUGGAGCUGUACGGUGGAGAACGUCAGCAUGUGAAGAAACACAUUCGAGGCUGUGUGUGUCGCCUCAAACGAUGCGUCAAGUUUUGCUGUCAUCCUCGGGCGGAAAUGUAUCGCGCAAGCGAGGACUCCGAUUCACAAUGUGAUGAGGAACUGAGUGAGGAGCUUUCUUAUUCGCCCUUCGUAAAUAUUACUUUACGUAAUAACAGUCAGGUUUUGAUGCAUGUCCUGGAUGAAUUUGUGGUGCAGCAAGGAAUCCCCUGCGGUGGAGGCUACAUGCUUAUGCCGCAUAAAUACGAAGAAGACCAUUGGGAAUUGUUUGAGGUAAGCCAUGAAAGAUUAACCCUCAAACCGGCAACUUUGAA